rnacentral:tRNA from 1 species
AUUUAUUUAAUAUAAUAAGUAUAUUAAGCUUCCAACUUAAAAGUUUCAUAAGAAAAUAAAUA